rnacentral:lncRNA from 1 species
CAUGGUGUUUGUAGACAUCGCGCCAUGAUAGAAGAACCUCCGAUUCUGGAUCCCCGCAGUAGUCAACAAGAGUCUGGACCAUCUUUGCUAGUGCUUCAACAGUAUGUAUAUCAAUGUGAGACAAGACCUCACUGCUGAAACUCUCAAGGUUUAGUCCUUGCAACCCAGCAAUAUUCUUAAAGUUCAGGCCCUGUAUAAAAGAAACUCUGGAACAUUCUUGCUCAACCACCUUAUAAAAAUGAGCCAACGCAUGAGCAGCUAUAUGUGGGGGUUUUGUAUCCAUCACGGGCAACAAGUCUUUAUCUUUUCCAAGCUGCAUGUAGCAGUCAGAUAGCAAGGCAUAUAAACAAGCUAGUCGUUGUUUGUCAUGCCCAUUAAUUGCAGGGUACACUGACAAGGAGAUGGUUUUUAUUGAUUCUGCAGCACAAGCAAGCACAUUGCCUUUAAAGAUUGAAAUUUCGGCCAUUAUAUCAUCAACAGCCCAAACAUCUGAAACAAGGACAGAAGCAAGGUACUGUUGUAGCACCUGAAACGUAAACAGAGAGAAAUUAAGAUAUGACUUCCAGCAGUAUGCAUAUANACUACCAGAGUAUUAUCUGUCAUUUACGUUUGUAUUUUGCAGUAUCUAUUUUAUCUUGUGUUACUUUGUUUCUUUCUUACAGUGAUUAAUCAAAUGUAGGAAACAGACUAAUCAUGAGAUUAUAACACUAAACAUUGACAAAAUCUAAUAACCUCUAUCAUCUAACAUUGGUAGAAAUCAUAGACAAUGCAGUUUGGAUUAGAUUCCCUAAUCUGCCUUUCAACUGGGCAACAGUAUUUGCCAAAGGUUCACAGAAGUCCCUAUCUGCAGAAGCAGAUGCAUCAUCUUGAAGAACUUGAAGCUGCUGCAUUUCUAAAUAUUUCCGGAGACUGGCCUCUGCAACAUUAAUUAAACUGAGAGAUGCAUUUGUAUGCAUGAAUUUCGUGACCAGGAUCCCAGCUAGAAUCUGCUGAUCUGCCUUCACAAGCUCUGUUAUAAAACAGGGAAAAAGUAAUUUUCCGAAAAGUAACAUAAUAUAUUUCUCUUUGCUUUCUGGUUCGUAUACCCUUCUUUGUUUGAGACUAGGCAGCCGGUCUUCCUGGCACUGGCGAGAUAGAUUCCCAACAAUAUAGCAAAUAUAUGAAAAGGUGGUUCCAUAGGAAGUUUUAGUGAUGAUCUUUGUAAUGAUUCCGGAGUGCAAUGCAAGAAUUAGAAACUCAACAUCUCUAGAAAUUGCGUCUGAAAUGCCUACUUGCUUGAGUUUAUCUUCAACUGAAUCCAAACACAAUAGCUGUGUUCCAUCAUAAGGCAGCAAGAGAGCCAUCUUGAGAGCUGCAAAGCAAUCCAACUCGGCAGUAGUUUGGCUCAUGUGAAGGGUGCCAUUAUCAUCCAGCAAGAUGCCAGUAGUCUUUGCCAAGGAUCUAUCUAUCAACAUCAACAAAUCUCUAAAUCGAGAUAAUUGCACCAUCUUCUUAAAGAUCUCCAACCAACAAGCAUGCAGAGGAUGAACUACAAGCGUGUUCUCCUUCAGUUCCUUGUCCAAGGGUUCUUGAAAGCUUUCCCAUCCAUCAUCCCAAUCAUCACUGCCCCAAUUGUUUCCGGCAUCAGUUGUUUCGGUGGAAUUUGCCUCAGCUCUACCUGAUGGAAAUAGCCCUUCCCACUCUUCCAAAAUGGCUAUCAAACAAUCACAAUGGCUUCCAACUUCAGCAGCUUCACAUAAUAUCGAGAAGCAAGAAACUGCUGAUUCAACGGUCACAAGAUCUUUUGGAGUAAUCUGUAAACUGGGAGAGAUAGCAGACACCAGCUGUGACGACUUGAGGGCGACUAGAGUAUUAGCAAAUCUACUCGAAGCUUCAGUAUUAACAUUUUGCACACCAUGAUCAACGGUAGUCUCAGUGUCAGCAUCUGUUCUUUGUAAACCAUCCCACCCUUCCCAUGGAACAAUAUUGGCCUGUAUCUCAGCGGAAAAUGCCUUCAAAGUUCGACCUCUAGAUGAAAUAGAUUGCAUAAGCUCCAGGAUGUAAACUCGCACAUGGUCAGGAAGCUCCAAGUUAUCCGAGAACUUUGCCAUACUCGUCCAAACUGCUUGCCUUACCAUCUUCAGAUCCUCCAUUUCAUGUUUUACUUCACUCAAAGAUGACAAGAGAUUGGGUAGAUCUGGGUGAUUAAGGGAUGCACCAGAAGAAAGGUCUUGCAAGAUUUUUUCAAAUAUACUCAUAUAAAGAUGGCGAAGAUCUUGUGUUUCAUCACAAUAUUUCUGGCUCCCAGAGAUUGGAGUUGAGUUAGAUGGGAACUGUGACACUGCAUGAGAAUAUACAUGUGCAAUAGCUUCGAAUUUACACCCAGAAAAAAUCAUUGCUUGGCAGAAAUGUGAAAUUUCAAUAGUAAUGCUGCCAGUAAGGCCCUUCUCAACAUAGCGAACAAGAGUUCUCCAACCCUGUCUUGGUGAGACUUUCUUCCCCACAACCAGGUCUAGAAAACCUUCAACGCACACCAUUAAACAUCUCGGGUGAAAAUUUUCUGAACCCUCCUGGGACACAAAUUCCUGCAUGUCACCAGCUAGUUUUAACCAAAAUGUUAGCAUGAUUCUAAGGCAAUCCUGCCAGCUUGAAUCGCAAGAAAUAAUAUUCAAGGAAUUUUUAAAGGGUAGUAUUAUAUCUAAGUAUUGCUUCAUUAUUUCCAGGACAGCUGGACAUGUCAGUGCACUUAUAUAGUUUCUGCACAUAUCAUAUGUACUCUCAAGCUCAUUUAUGAAGUGCUGAAGAUUUUCAGGACUUUCAAAAGGAAUCCUGGAUUUAGCGCUUAAUCCCAACUCUGACAACAAACUCAAUACAUGGUGUUUGUAGACAUCGCGCCAUGAUAGAAGAACCUCCGAUUCUGGAUCCCCGCAGUAGUCAACAAGAGUCUGGACCAUCUUUGCUAGUGCUUCAACAGUAUGUAUAUCAAUGUGAGACAAGACCUCACUGCUGAAACUCUCAAGGUUUAGUCCUUGCAACCCAGCAAUAUUCUUAAAGUUCAGGCCCUGUAUAAAAGAAACUCUGGAACAUUCUUGCUCAACCACCUUAUAAAAAUGAGCCAACGCAUGAGCAGCUAUAUGUGGGGGUUUUGUAUCCAUCACGGGCAACAAGU